ensembl:lncRNA
GCCCGAUGCCGUUCCGGAGGCCGAGGCGGUGCCCGAUGCGCAGGCCGAGGCGAUGCCCGUGUCCAGGGCCGUUCCCGAGGCGGUGUCCUUGUCCCAUGCCGUUCCUGAGGCCGCUCCCGAGGCGGUGCUCGAGCCCGAGGUCGUUCCCGAGGCGAUACCCGUGUCCAAGGCCGUUCCCGAGGCGGUGUCCAAUGCCGUGACCUGGCCAUCGCCACAGUCUGCUCCUCACUGGCUCCCCGAAUGGCAGGUUCCGUUCGGGCCACUCAAAUGGCGAAUUCCUCCCUGGCCGUCUGCACAACGAGAAUGGACUGAUCCACCGUGGCCACCUGAACUGCCUGGCCCCUCGUGGUCCCCUGAACUUUCGGGUCCACCGUGGCCACCUGAACUGCCUGGUCCCUCGUGGUCCCCUGAACUUUCGGGUCCACCAUGGCCCCCUGAUCUGACCGAGCCACCUGGGCUGCCAGGGGAGCCAUCGCUGCCGGUCCCAGUUCCCCUACACGGGCCUGGCCCGCCAUCCCUCCCCCUGUUCUGCCUCCACCAGUCCACCUCCCUCCUGGUCUCGUUGUUUUGUUUUUGGUGUUUUGUUCUGGGGAGCAUCUGGAAGCUGCUCCUUAGAGGGGGGGUAAUGUCACAGUGUCUGGUCUGUGUAUCCCUGGGUGUCCACUAGAGGUCUCACUUCCCAUUAUCGUCACCCCACUUCAGAACUGCAUUUCCCAUAGUCUUGUCUGUUUCAUCACUGCUCAUUGCACUCAGCUGUCCCUGGUCAUUAAUCAUUGCACUCAGCCAAUUCCCCGUUAGUAUUGUAAUCACCUGUCUAUAUAUACCUGGUUUGUUUCUGUCUGUGUCACGGAGUCCUUGUUUAAUGUCACC